AUCACUUCAGUCCUUUUCAGGGAGGAUGCUUGAAGCCCAUUUCCAGGCAGAACUGGAGGGAAUCGGUUCCAGGGUCACUGCUAUCUUGAGACCUAAGACUGCAAGACAAGCUGUGUAGUGUGAUGCGCGUAGAACAGCUGGGGAGAUGGGGCUGCCCGAGCCUUUUGAAGCCCAGAAAAUCAUGAGUGAGUGCGGACAUUGGACACCGAGCUGUUUACACUAUUGGAUUUGGGAUUUGCUUGGAUCUGAUUAUUUGAGCAGCUCUGUUGCUUGGAAACUCACAUAAAGCAUGAAGGGAAAAAAAAGGCUACUGUGGGAAAACUCACUUUGCAAGAAUCCUAUGCCUGAAGAGAUGUCUGGCUACGGCGGAAUGCUUUCCUUUGACAGGAAAAUGAACAAUUUGAUAGCCUUUAAGAAAAUAAAAGCAGUU